rnacentral:rRNA from 1 species
AGAGUUUGAUCCUGGCUCAGAACAAACGCUGGCGGCGUGCCUAACACAUGCAAGUCGUACGAGAAAAUCCGCUUCGGCGGGUGAGUAAAGUGGCGCACGGGUGAGUAACGCGUGGAUAAUCUGCCUUUAAGCGGGGAAUAACUUACCGAAAGGUGGGCUAAUACCCCAUAAAGCUAUGGAGCUCCGGUUUUCAUAGCCAAAGAGAGCCUCUGCAUGCAAGCCCUCACUUAGAGAUGAGUCCGCGUACCAUUAGCUAGUUGGUGGGGUAAUGGCCUACCAAGGCGACGAUGGUUAGCUGGUCUGAGAGGAUGAUCAGCCACAAUGGAACUGAAACACGGUCCAUACACCUACGGGUGGCAGCAGUGAGGAAUAUUGGUUAAUGGGCGAAAGCCCGAACCAGCAACGCCGCGUGUGCGAUGAAGGCCUUCGGGUUGUAAAGCACUUUUGGAGGGGAAGAGAAGGGACGGUACCCUCCGAAUAAGCCUCGGCUAACUACGUGCCAGCAGCCGCGGUAACACGUAGGAGGCGAGCGUUAUCCGGAUUUACUGGGUGUAAAGCGCGUGCAGGCGGUUCGGUAAGUUGGAUGUGAAAGCUCCUGGCUUAACUGGGAGAGGUCGUUCAAUACUGCCGGGCUAGAGGAUGGGAGAGAGAGGUGGAAUUCCGGGUGUAGUGGUGAAAUGCGUAGAUAUCCGGAGGAACACCAGUGGCGAAGGCGGCCUCCUGGCCCAUUUCUGACGCUCAGACGCGAAAGCUAGGGGAGCGAACGGGAUUAGAGACCCCGGUAGUCCUAGCCGUAAACGAUGUGAACUUGGCGUCGGCGGGUUUAAAAUCCGUCGGUGCCGCAGCUAACGCGAUAAGUUCACCACCUGAGUACUACGGCCGCAAGGUUAAAACUCAAAGGAAUUGACGGGUCCCCGCACAAGCAGCGGAGCGUGUGGUUUAAUUCGUUGCUACACGAAGAACCUUACCAGGGUUUGACAUACAGGUGGUAGUGAAGCGAAAGCAGAACGACCCUUCGGGGAGCCUGUACAGGUGGUGCAUGGUUGUCGUCAGCUCGUGUCGUGAGAUGUUCGGUUAAGUCCGCUAACGAGCGCAACCCUCACUGUGUGUUAUACGUGUCACACGGGACUGCCGGUUUUAAGCCGGAGGAAGGCGAGGAUGACGUCAAGUCAGCAUGGCCUUUAUAUCCUGGGCUACACACACGCUACAAUGGUCUGUACAGCAGGUUGCCAAACCGCAAGGUGGAGCCAAUCCCUAAAACAGGCCUCAGUUCAGAUUGCAGGCUGCAACCCGCCUGCAUGAAGCCGGAGUUGCUAGUAACCGCAGGUCAGCUAUACUGCGGUGAAUACGUUCCCGGGUCUUGCACUCACCGCCCGUCAAG